rnacentral:rRNA from 1 species
AAUGAACGAAAGUUUGACACAGCGACACCGCGUGUGGGAUGACGGAUCUAGGUUUGUAAACCACUUUCAGGAGGGAAGAAAAUGACGGUACCUCCACAAGAAGCCCCGGCCAACUACGUGCCAGCAGCCGCGGUAAUACGUAGGUUGCAAACAUUGUCCGGAAUCACUGGGCGUAAAGGGUCCGUAGGCGGUUUGAUAAGUCUCAUAUGAAAGCUUCAAGCUCAACUUGGAGAUGUGUGAGAUACUGUCAGACUAGAGACUGUUAGAGGUAAGUGGAAUUCCAGGUGUAGUGGUGAAAUGCGUAGAUAUCUGGAGGAACACCAGUGGCGAAAGCGACUUACUGGGACAGUUCUGACACUAAGGGACGAAAGCGUGGGGAGCGAACCGGAUU